GGCUGUAGCUCAAUGGCAGAGCGCUUGCCUAGCAUGCGUGUGAGGCACUGGGUUCGAUCCUCAGCACCA
rnacentral:tRNA from 1 species